ensembl:miRNA
UGCAGAGCUGGGUUUGGGAGGUUGGAUGCAGCCCUGAGUAUCAUUUGUAGGUUGUCCUGUGGAAAAGCCCCGCCUGCCCCACGGUUCUUCCAGGACAAGUGGCUGCAGAUCACUCAGGAAAGUUGUGUAAUUCUUCUCUCAGCCA